rnacentral:rRNA from 1 species
CCAAAACAACCAGGAGGUUGGCUUAGAAGCAGCCAUCCUUUAAAGAAAGCGUAACAGCUCACUGGUCUAAACAAGGGUUCCUGCGGCGAAGAUGUAACGGGGCUAAAGAUAUGCACCGAAGCUUAGGGUUCAGAAUUUAUUCUGAGCGGUAGCGGAGCGUUCCGUAAGCGAGUGAAGGCGAAGGGUAACCGACGCUGGACGUAUCGGAAGUGCGAAUGCUGACAUGAGUAGCGACAAACAGGGUGAGAUGCCCUGUCGCCGAAAGACCAAGGGUUCCUGCGCAACGCUAAUCGGCGCAGGGUUAGCCGGCCCCUAAGACGAGCCCGAAGGGGGUAGUCGAUGGGAACCACGUAAAUAUUCGUGGGCCUGAAGAUGUGUGACGGAUCGUGGAAGUUGUUUUCUCUUAUUGGAUUGAGAGGGCAGCCAAGCGGUUCCAGGAAAUAGCCUCUUCACUAUAGACCGUACCCGAAACCGACACAGGUGGUCAGGUAGAGUAUACCAAGGCGCUUGAGAGAAGUAUCCUGAAGGAACUCGGCAAAUUGCCUCCGUACCUUCGGAAGAAGGAGGCCCCAUAUCGACGCAAGUCUUUGUGGGGGGCACAGGCCAGGGGGUAGCGACUGUUUAGCAAAAACACAGCACUCUGCUAAGUCGGCUUCAAGACGACGUAUAGGGUGUGACGCCUGCCCGGUGCUCGAAGGUUAAGAGGAGGAGUGCAAGCUCCGAAUUGAAGCCCGAGUAAACGGCGGCCGUAACUAUAACGGUCCUAAGGUAGCGAAAUUCCUUGUCGGGUAAGUUCCGACCUGCACGAAUGGCGUAACGACUUCCCCACUGUCUCCAGGAUAUGCUCAGCGAAAUUGAAUUCUCCGUGAAGAUGCGGAGUACCCGCGGUUAGACGGAAAGACCCCGUGCACCUUUACUGCAGCUUCAGAGUGGCAUUAGGAAAUUACUGUGUAGAAUAGGUGGGAGGCUUUGAAACAUCGGCGCCAGCUGGUGUGGAGCCAACCUGUGAAAUACCACCCUGUGAUUUUCUGAUGUCUAACCACGCACCGUUAUCCGGUGUUGGGACCCUCUGUGGCGGGUAGUUUGACUGGGGCGGUCGCCUCCUAAAGAGUAACGGAGGCGCGCGAUGGUA